rnacentral:rRNA from 1 species
GAUGAACGCUGGCGGCGUGCCUAAUACAUGCAAGUCGAGCGAAUGGAUUAAGAGCUUGCUCUUAUGAAGUUAGCGGCGGACGGGUGAGUAACACGUGGGUAACCUGCCCAUAAGACUGGGAUAACUCCGGGAAACCGGGGCUAAUACCGGCUAACAUUUUGAACCGCAUGGUUCGAAAUUGAAAGGCGGCUUCGGCUGUCACUUAUGGAUGUACCCGCGUCGCAUUAGCUAGUUGGUGAGGUAACGGCUCACCAAGGCAACGAUGCGGAGCCGACCUGAGAGGGUGAUCGGCCACACUGGGACUGAGACACGGCCCAGACUCCUACGGGAGGCAGCAGUAGGGAAUCUUCCGCAAUGGACGAAAGUCUGACGGAGCAACGCCGCGUGAGUGAUGAAGGCUUUCGGGUCGUAAAACUCUGUUGUUAGGGAAGAACAAGUGCUAGUUGAAUAAGCUGGCACCUUGACGGUACCUAACCAGAAAGCCACGGCUAACUACGUGCCAGCCGCCGCAGUAA